rnacentral:rRNA from 1 species
GAUGAACGCUGGCGGCGUGCCUAAUACAUGCAAGUCGAGCGAACGGACGAGAAGCUUGCUUCUCUGAUGUUAGCGGCGGACGGGUGAGUAACACGUGGAUAACCUACCUAUAAGACUGGGAUAACUUCGGGAAACCGGAGCUAAUACCGGAUGAUAUUUUGAACCGCAUGGUUCAAAAGUGAAAGACGGUCUUGCUGUCACUUAUAGAUGGAUCCGCGCUGCAUUAGCUAGUUGGUAAGGUAACGGCUUACCAAGGCAACGAUGCAUAGCCGACCUGAGAGGGUGAUCGGCCACACUGGAACUGAGACACGGUCCAGACUCCUACGGGAGGCAGCAGUAGGGAAUCUUCCGCAAUGGGCGAAAGCCUGACGGAGCAACGCCGCGUGAGUGAUGAAGGUCUUCGGAUCGUAAAACUCUGUUAUUAGGGAAGAACAUAUGUGUAAGUAACUGUGCACAUCUUGACGGUACCUAAUCAGAAAGCCACGGCUAACUACGUGCCAGCAGCCGCGGUAAUACGUAAGUGGCAAGCGUUAUCCGGAUUUAUUGGGCGUAAAGCGCGCGUAGGCGGUUUUUCAAGUCUGAUGUGAAAGCCCACGGCUCAACCGUGGAGGGUCAUUGGAAACUGGAAAACUUGAGUGCAGAAGAGGAAAGUGGAACUCCAUGUGUAGCGGUGAAAUGCGCAGAGAUAUGGAGGAACACCAGUGGCGAAGGCGACUUUCUGGUCUGUAACUGACGCUGAUGUGCGAAAGCGUGGGGAUCAAACAGGAUUAGAUACCCUGGUAGUCCACGCCGUAAACGAUGAGUGCUAAGUGUUAGGGGGUUUCCGCCCCUUAGUGCUGCAGCUAACGCAUUAAGCACUCCGCCUGGGGAGUACGACCGCAAGGUUGAAACUCAAAGGAAUUGACGGGGACCCGCACAAGCGGUGGAGCAUGUGGUUUAAUUCGAAGCAACGCGAAGAACCUUACCAAAUCUUGACAUCCUUUGACAACUCUAGAGAUAGAGCCUUCCCCUUCGGGGGACAAAGUGACAGGUGGUGCAUGGUUGUCGUCAGCUCGUGUCGUGAGAUGUUGGGUUAAGUCCCGCAACGAGCGCAACCCUUAAGCUUAGUUGCCAUCAUUAAGUUGGGCACUCUAAGUUGACUGCCGGUGACAAACCGGAGGAAGGUGGGGAUGACGUCAAAUCAUCAUGCCCCUUAUGAUUUGGGCUACACACGUGCUACAAUGGACAAUACAAAGGGCAGCGAAACCGCGAGGUCAAGCAAAUCCCAUAAAGUUGUUCUCAGUUCGGAUUGUAGUCUGCAACUCGACUACAUGAAGCUGGAAUCGCUAGUAAUCGUAGAUCAGCAUGCUACGGUGAAUACGUUCCCGGGUCU